GUGUAUAAAACCGAGAAAUAGCAAGAAUAUAAAAACACGUCAUUGUAGUGAAUAAGAUCAAGGCAGCCACACGGAGCCACGCGGACAGUGGACACCACCACCAUCACCAUAACCCGGCCAAACAUCCCACAUUUUCUUUAAUAUCUCUGCUAUUCUUGGUCCACGCAGGAUGUACCGGUGUCCCAAGCUGGUGGAUGUCCCGGUGGUGGUGGAGCUGCCCUCUGUCAUGUACAAAAUGGCACCUUUUAGCUUAAAAAGCCACGAUUCGAGUCCCGCCCAGCUGGUGCAAACUUCCAAGGGGUGUCCGGCGGCCUCAGCACUGGAGGCGAGACAAGAGGCUGUGCUAAAACGACUACAAAAUUUGAAAGACCAGCUGGACCAUUUGCAAUCCACUCGAACGACUACUGCUACUGCUGCUGCUACUACUGCUGCUGCUGCUGCUGCUACUGCUGGUGGUCUUGGGGCUGCUGCAUGCUCCUCGCCACUUAAGACACCAUCCAGCCCCAUACAAGACUUGGUGAUUGCCGCCAGCCCCGCCAGCCCCCCUCUGUCCCUGCUGGUGCUGCGGAGACUGCUGGGCCAAUCAGGACUGCCCGUUCACUGCUCCAGCCGCCUCCACUCCUCCGUACCGCAGGUGCGUCCAGAGCUACAGGCGGCCUUCACAGAGAGUCCCCUGGAGGAGCGGAGCAAACACAGUGUGGCGUUUUCUCUCCAGUGGAGCGACGUGCCCUCCCCUUCCCUCAUGAUCAACCCCCUGCGGCAAACCAGAAUCGCGGGGGAAGCCAAUAUUCUCCGCUACGUCACCCGGUUGCUGCCAUCGACCUCCCCUUACAAUUUUGAAGCCACAGGGACAUUUACUAGCAUUGCCGAGACUGACUCCUUGCUGGACACUCUGGAGGGCAGCCUGGUGUGGGGGGGUGCCAAGGAGAGGGCCGCAGUCAUGAGGGAGAUCGGAAAAAGGUUAAGCCGUUCAGCGUUCCUGUGUGGGGGUCAGUGUGGUGUGGUGGACCUGCUGGCGUGGUCACUGGUGCGGCAGAGAGGGGGUGCGGUGGACCAGGCUAUCGGUAAUUGGCUGGCACGGGUCGACGCCUUGGCUGGCAUAGAUCUCACCAAAAUAACAACUACAACAACAACAGCAACUAAACAGCAGCAGAAAAGCAAGCCACAACCACCAGCACAAACAACAACAACAACAACAAAGGAAGGAGGAGAGAAGAAAAUCAGUCCACAGAAUGAGAAGACUUAUUUAGGAAGGAAGGACCUCGAGAAGUACUUGAAGGAGCUUGGUGUGGCUUUCCAGAUCAAGGAGCACCAGGCAGUGAUGACGGUGGAGGCGUUGAUGGGUGAAGUGGAAGGAUUGCCGGGAAUCAUCACCAAGAAUCUUUUCCUCAGAGACAAGAAGAAAACGCUUUAUAUUCUGUCCACCAGGCAUGAUACUGAGAUCGACCUCAAGACACUCGCCAAGAAAAUUAAUGCGAAGGACUUGCGUUUCGCUGACGGCACCACACUCUACGACACAUUGGGGGUGCGUCAGGGCUGUGUGACCCCCCUGGCCCUUAUCAACGACCCUGGGCACACUGUGAAGGUCCUGCUGGAAACGCCCCUGAUGGAACUGGCAACAGGGCAUAUCUAUUUUCACCCCCUGAGUAAUGAUGCUUCCCUGGGGCUUAAGCCGGCCGGUCUCCAGAGGUUCCUUGAAGCCACGGGACAUGCUCCGCCCACACUGGUCCAGCUGUGAGCUUGAAAUAAAUUGAAACUUGUCUCGCUCUCUCAUUUCCUUUCCCUUUGCAUGUUGGAGGGGGUGAAAGUGCACACACACACACACACACUCACACACACUCACUAUCUAUUUGUCUAUCUAUUGUUCUGUUUCCUUAGUGGUUGUAAUGCAUGUUUGAAAAUUAUUAUUAUUAUUAUUAUUAUUUAUUUAUUUAUUUUAGUGGAGCCGAAAUGUUGGUUCCUUUUUGAGUCAGUUUUGAAUUGAGAGAAAAAUUUGUGUGUUUAUUAAUUUAUUUUAUUUAUUUAUAUUUUCUGACAGAGAGAGAGAGAGAGAGAGAGAGUAAUUACGAAGGAAAAUAAGAAAAACACAAACCGGGCCAUUUUAUUUCAUUUUUAUUGUAUUUUUCUCCAUUCUACGGUAAACAAUAUAGAAAAAACUCGAAAAAAAGAAAUAAAACGCGCUAAACUAACAAUAAAUACAAAAGCUUAGUGUAUAAACAGCUCUCUCACUCUCUCUCUCUCUCACUCUCACUCUCUCACUCUCAGGCCAAACAAGCGACUAUAUAAAGUAAACAAAUUAAGUUCUGUUUGUUACGGUUGUUUGUUUUGAGAAGACGUCGAAAAUUUGUGUGUUUUAGUGACGAUGGGGACGUAUUUGAGUGUUUUUAUCAAUUGUGUGGUAGAAUAGGUUGAAAAUUAAGAGUCUGGGUGAAGAAUAGGUAGAAAUAUAUUAAAAUGUGUGUGUUUUUGAGGACGUAAAGGUGGAAAUUUGAGUAUUUUGUGGAGAAUAGGUUGAAAAUUGAGUGUUCGGGGAAAUAUACAUAGAAAUAUUUGUGGGGACGAGAAGGUUGAGAUUUGAGUAUUUUGGAAGAAUAAGUGAAAAUUGUUUUUUUUUUUUUUACAAAUGAGAAAAAUGAGUGUUUUGAAGUAACAUGCUAAAAUCUUGAUGCUUUAUCUUCGGAGAGACGUCAGAAUAUUAAAAUACCUUUUUUCAGAAAUACGUAAAAAUUGAAAAAAAAAAAAAAAAUCAUUAAUAGCUACAAAAAUUCUUAAUACUUACAAAAAGAAAACCGUAAAAUCAAACAUUUAUGAAAGCGUCGUAGAAAAUGUUUAGCAAAUACAAGUUAAUUGAAAAAGCUGUUCCAUGCGUUUGGUAAUCAAGAAAAGUGCUUUAUAAAACAGUUAAUAUCCCACAUUGACUCAAAAUAAAGCUACAAAUUGGAAUAAAUAAAUAAUGAAGCAUCUGAUUAGCAAAUACAAGUUAAUGAAGAAGUCUUGUAAAAUAUUAAGAAUAAAACGCCUUAUAAAACACUAUCAAUAUCCCACAGACACCACAAAUAAAACAAAAAAACACAUUAGAAUUGUUAUAUGCGAUCAGCUGCACCAUGCGUUUCGUAAAUAUGAAAUAGAAAAAACAGCGCUUUAUAAAACACUAUUAAUAUCCCACAUUGAGCAUACAUACAGCCACAAAUUAAACUGGAAAAAGCAUCAGAAUUGUUACAUCUGGUUAAUGGUGAGCCGUGCCGAGUGUUUGGUAAAUACUGAAAUGAAAGCUUUAUAAAUCACUUAAUAUUCCAGACACCAUUAUAUUCUCAACUUAUGAGUAAAAAAACUGAAUUAUUACAACUGAAUGACAAAUAUAAGUUAAUGAUGAGCUGUGGUGUGUGUUUGGUAUAAGAAAAUAAAUAAAUAAAAACUUGACAGAACUUAUAAUAUCCCACUGCAUAUAAAUAGUCUCAACGUCAAUAUUUUUUGUUAGAAUUGUUACGUCGGGUUAGGAAAAUACACAGGAACCCUUUCACUGCGUUCGGUCCAUGUUUCUGUGAGUGUGUCGAAAAAUUGCAUAAUCUAUUAGUUUUUUUCCAGUUUCCUUUCUUGUAGACGCUUGUAAAGACUUCACACACUACUGGUGGUGACUGUCUUGUAUGUGUUUCAUUGAUUACUUGUCGAGAAAUUGCUAACUCUUCUCCGUUUUUUCCAAUUUCCUUUCUUGUACACACUCCGAAAGACUCCAAGCAUUACUGGUGGUGGUGGUGGUGACUGUUUUGUAUGUGUUUGGUGUGUUUCCUUGAUUACUUGUCGAGAAAUUGCAUAAUCUAUUAGUUUUUUCCCGUUUCCUUGUUUGUAGAUGCUUGUAAAGACUUCACACAAUACGGCAGUGAAAGAGUUAAAUGGAGAAACCGUAGUGUGCGUUUCACAAUUACAAAUAAAAACGCUUUAGAAAACACUAUUAUCCCACAUCUGAGUAUAGAUAAAAGUUACAAAGGAAAUAAGGAAAGCUAUUACGUCUACGCACCUCAGUAUUUGUCAGGUCAGAGGCAGGACAUGUACAAAGUUGUCAUUUGCUUACAUUUAUUAAGUGUUAUUGUUAUUUGUAGACACUCAAAUUGCAAGGCUGUCACAGAUUGGAGGUGGUGGUGGUGGUAGUAGUAGUAGUGUAAAAUUGGGAAGGUAGGGAAAGAAUGGAAGGAAAAGAGAGAGAGAGAGAGA
rnacentral:misc_RNA from 1 species